GGCGGCGGCGGCCGGAGCGGGCUCAUUGUGCCCUGGGGGCGGCCAUCUUGGGCGUCGCAAAACACGGCGCGCCGUAAAGCGAGGGCGGCGAGGCGGGGGCUGCAGACGGGCGCGCUGGUGUCCUCAGACAGCGAGCUCUGCCCGCUGUCCCCUGCCCUCAGAACCCGCGGGGAUAAAGCGCCGUCGCUUCAUUCCCCACUCUGUGCUUGUUGCUUUCCAGAGCCAUGGCAGAGGGUCCCGCUGGAGGGGUAACGCUCCCCGCGCCUACUCCCGGCUCCCGGCUGGUUGGGGGUGUCCCACAGAACGGGAUGUGCUCUGCCUGUGCCCAGGGUUGCUUCAAGGACCAGCGGGGAAGAGAGGGCAGGGUGUUCGGCCUGUAGUCUUCAGCUGCAUAGUCAUGAUUUCUGUGCAUUUAUUUUUUGCUGUUUGUUUGGUCAGGAUUUCGAAUAGGUUUCUCAGGGAGUUUGGUGGGCUCACCAGUGUCUUCAGGAGGCACCUGGAUCUGGCACUGGGUGAUGUGGUUUAGGGGAGACAGUGCUGGUCUGAUGCUCGGACUGACGGCUGAUGUGCUGAUCUUGACGGUCUUCUCCAACCCCGCUGAUCCUCUGUGUUGUAUGGUGCUCUGCUCUGAGCCAGCUGAGGGGGUUAUGAACAGGCUCCUUCUGAGCUGAGGAGGUACUUGCAACCAAACAGUGAACUUCAAAGAGACAGCUAAUUUUGAGGACACAAGUGAAGACUUCAGGAUCCCGUAGUGUGACCUGCUGUAUAUCAUGUAGUCUUUCCUUAAUUCUUAAAAUUAAAAUUCUUAAAGCACGGCCAUCACCAAUGCCUCUUUGCAGGUACCUUCCCCCAAAACUUUGGUGAAUUCAGAGAAUAUAUGUUCUAUUUUAGAGAAUAGAUUUAAUGGAGAAUUCCCAGGCUAUCUUCAGAAACUGUGUUUAAGUGACUUCCUCACACCCACAGAUACCUCUAAUGCUACACAGAUACCCACAGAAAGAAUAUGAUCUGUCUUUACAAUCACUGACAUCCGUUCCUUCUAUAUCUUCAAGGCUUUGUUGCAACAAAUCAUGCAAAGUUUUGAGGAGAAAACUGUCCUUUUGACUACAGUCAUAUUGAAAAUGAGGGUGUUACAUUUCCUAUUUUUGGAAAUACAAGAUACAGGUCACUUAAUUUUGUUUGCGUUAUUCCACAUGAUAUAAAAAGAGUUACAUUGAAGGAUACUGUAAAAGAAGAUGCAAAUGGAAAAUAAUCCCAUCAGAGAGAAAGAUGUCCAGGAAAGCACAACAUAACUCUUGCAGUUGCAAGGGAGAAGCUGCUAAAAAGGAACACCCUUACCUGUUUUUCAAUAACAUGAUGUUUGUUGUUUUGACACCUGGGACAACUCCAGUGCUCUAAAAGGUACUGUUCUAAAGAAGGGCUUUGACUGUGGAGUCAGCAACACCUGGACAUGCCUGUGGUGUCUCAUAAGUGGCCUCUCCCAAUAGAGAGGGGAAAAACUAGAAUAGAGGAAACUGUGAGAACUGGAAAGGUAACUUAAGAGUUAAGUUUCUGGUGUCAAAUCCUUGCUUUCUGUGCUGCCUGUCUCUGAGAGAAAAAAGCUUUGCUUUGAAGGAGCUGCCACUGAGGCAGUUUAGUUAGCUGGUGUCACAGAACAAACUGUUGCUAAAUAGGGAAUUUCAGCUCAUAAACACAGUUUAGAAAUGACAGAAUGCAGUGGCAUGUUUCUGUGCAGAAAGCCUAAGUUAAUGAAAAUUGCCGGAGGGAUGCACUUAAGAGGAGCUACCAAGGCACCUCAUCCUGUAAUGGUGACAAGUUCCUUGAUUCAUUUCCUGAGCCAUAUCCAUUUUUGCACUUAAUGUGGUAAGUGUUCUGUGAAAAACUUAACAUGAUUAUGCAAUUAAAGUCUGCUUAAAAUAAUACGUAUAAACUGGGGAGAAUUAGGGUUCCAUGGGCAGUAAACCUACCAUCUCCUAAUGUGUGAGACUUUAACUUUUUAAAAUUGCUGCUCUUUGUUCUAAAAAACUGAAUGCCUCUGUACUCUUUGUGUAGAAUUCUUCUAAGUCCAAAUGGUUUUGAACUAGAGCAAAACCCUCGUUAUCCACAACUCUGCACACUAUCACUAGGGCUUUCUCAGGAUUCACCAGCAGUAAGUUGAUGUUCUUUAAAAGUAGCAAUCGCUAGAGAAAUAAAGCAAAUAUUUUGUCA